UACGGCGAGUGAAGCGGCAACAGCUCAAAUUUGAAAUCUGGCUCUUUCAGGGUCCGAGUUGUAAUUUGUAGAAGAUGCUUCGGGUGUGGCUCCGGUCUAAGUUCCUUGGAACAGGACGUCAUAGAGGGUGAGAAUCCCGUAUGUGACCGGUUGCUUUCGCCCAUGUGAAGCUCUUUCGACGAGUCGAGUUGUUUGGGAAUGCAGCUCAAAAUGGGUGGUAAAUUUCAUCUAAAGCUAAAUAUUGGCCAGAGACCGAUAGCGCACAAGUAGAGUGAUCGAAAGAUGAAAAGCACUUUGGAAAGAGAGUUAAACAGUACGUGAAAUUGUUGAAAGGGAAGCGCUUGCAACCAGACUUGCACGCUGCCGAUCAUCUGGGGUUCUCUCCAGUGCACUCGGUUGCGUUCAGGCCAGCAUCGGUUUGGGUGGUUGGAUAAAGGCUUAGGGAAUGUAGCUUCUUUCGGGGAGUGUUAUAGCCCUAGGUGCAAUGCAGCCUACCCGGACCGAGGACCGCGCUUCGGCUAGGAUGCUGGCGUAAUGGUUGUAAGCGACCCGU
rnacentral:rRNA from 1 species